UCUUUGUUCUUGUUUUGUCCAGGUUUUCCUCGUCGCCUGGGUUUUCUUCGUUGGUCUGUUCAUAUCAACUUCUACACAACACCAGGCUGCAGCGGGUCAUGGCUGCAGGACAUCCUGGACACUCACCUUUGGGGGACAAGACCUUGUAAGGGUCAUGUGGGGAGCAGGAGCCAAUCACAGCGGUCAUCAGGCAACAGUGGUGUACUGUGUAACAUGGACAGCUCACCACAGUGGUGGUUCCCAACCACUGGGCUGUGGCUCACUAAUGACCCCUGAGAGAUUACCAGCCUGGAGACGGCCUGCCUGAGCCUGCCUCUCUGCAUGGCCCCUGGGUACGGCGCCCACAGGUGGAGCAGGAGCCGGCCGCGUGGACAUACAAAGCAGAGGUGGAGUGAAACACUCAGAGACAGCAGCAGUGGGAGAACAGGUAAGAGGCUGAGGCUGACAGUGAUUGACGCAGGAGGACCAGAUGAACUGAGGGCUUAAGUGAGCGCUGUUCACUCUUCAUUUCCUUCAUUCAGCACUCAGUUUAUUAUUAACGCAGCUGGAGAUUUAGUAUGUGACAGUGAGGGAGUUAUGAACUGA